CUUCUACCAAAACAAGAAAAUUCAAAAAAAGAGGUCAGCGGUUGUUCUCGAACUCUAUCCCCAGCCCAUCAGCAUUAGGGUUUUAAACCCUAAAUUGAACUUUUUUCCUUUAGCCAGCAUUAGGGUUUUAAACCCUAAACUGAGCUUUUUCAUGCAAUCAGCAUUAGGGUUUUAAACCCUAAGCUGAAUUUUCCUUUUAGUCAGCAUUAGGGUUUUAAAACCCUAAACUGAACUUUUUCCAUUCAGCCAGCAUAAGGGUUUUAAACCCUAAACUGAGCUUUUCCAUGCAGUCAGCAUUAGGGUUUUAAACCCUAAGCUGAAUUUUCCUUUUAAUCAGCAUUAAGGUUUUAAACCCUAAACUGAACUUUUUCCUUUCAGCCAGCAUUAGGGUUUUAAACCCUAAACUGAGCUUUUCCAUGCAGUCAGCAUUAGGGUUUUAAACCCUAAGCUGAAUUUUCCUUUUAGUCAGCAUUAGGGUUUUAAACCCUAAACUGAACUUUUUCCAUUCAGCCAGCAUUAGGGUUUUAAACCCUAAACUGAGCUUUUCCAUGCAGUCAGCAUUAGGGUUUUAAACCCUAAACUGAAUUUUCCUUUUAGUCAGCAUUAGGGUUUUAAACCCUAAACUGAAUUUUUUCCAUUCAGCCAGCAUUAGGGUUUUAAACCCCAAACUGAGCUUUUCCUUCCAGUCAGCAUUAGGGUUUUAAACCCUAAACUGAAUUUUUCCUUCCAAUCAGCAUUAGGGUUUUAAAUCCUAAACUGAAUUUUUCCCCUUCAGUCAGCAUUAGGGUUUUAAACCCUAAACUGAACUUUUUCCAUUCAGCCAGCAUUAGGGUUUUAAACCCUAAAAUGAGCUUUUCCAUGCAGUCAGCAUUAGGGUUUUAAACCCUAAGCUGAAUUUUCCUUUUAAUCAGCAUUAGGGUUUUAAACCCUAAACUGAACUUUUUCCCAUUCAGCCAUCAUUAGGGUUUUAAACCCCAAAUUGAGCUUUUCCUUCUAGUCAGCAUUAGGGUUUUAAACCCUAAACUGAAUUUUCC
rnacentral:lncRNA from 1 species